UGAUUCACAUGGAAAAGAGGACAUGUAUCAUACAUGUCCUCUAAUGUAGAACCGUUUAAGACGAUAGCACAUUUGAUUAUUAAAAA
rnacentral:sRNA from 1 species